AAGUCAUCCAGCAAUGAGGGAAUCCUGUCUCCAUUUAUGGACCAAAAUCAAGAGCAAUUUUGUUUGCAUCUGACACGGAUCCCAACAAGAGGCUUGUCAGGUCACUUCACCAAGGCCGGAAUUCCUGGAGGGUCCAGGUCCUCAAAAGUUAGGCCAACAAGCAACAUUUUUAUUUUGUUCUCUAUCUUUGAAGUAUUAAGUUUUAACCACAUUUUUCAGGAUAUUUUUCAAGGUGGCUGGUUCCAUUUAAAAAGCAUCUUUUUUAUGGGUCCGUAAUUUUAUAAUUCAAUUUUUAGAAAUUGCUGAAAUCAAAUUAGACAAUUUCUGCAUCUUAACUUCAUAUACUUCUUAUUUGUAAUCAACAAAAAGGACUGUGCGUUAUAAAACAGAACAGUCAUUCUUAUUUAUGCCUGCAACUAUUUUUAUGAUAUUUUAUAUGGAUGAAUGUCAUGAGACUCUAGUCAAUCUCUGUGAUGAACCCAAAUAAAAACAUCUCACCAUUGACACAUAGCCAUUCAUUGUAGCUGUGCGCUGAGCUGGGAAGGAGGCAGUUCCCUGUCCUCUGGGUCUCCGAGAUGGAAUGCCACAACAUACCACUAGGGCCAUAAAGCUUUCAUAUGUGUGCUGCCAAAUCUUAGCCAGUGGGCCAAACUGAAGAAAUACAAUAAAUAACAAAAGCUAAUGCUUAUUAAAAGUACUUAUUCUAUGUACAGCAUUGUUUCAAAUGCUUUGUGUAUAUUAAACUCAUUUAAUCCUCAAGAUAGUCCUAUGAAGGGAGGUAACAUCAACCCCAUUUUACAGUUGAAGAAAUGAAGGCACAAAGGUGAAGUAAUCUGCAUAAGGCCACAUGACCAAUAAACGGUAGAGCUGGAAUUUGAAUCCAGGCAGUCUGGAUUCUUUCCUUCUUCUCUUCGCCACCAUACUGUGCCACCAGUGGGAAGACUGUCAAGAGGGGCAUGGAGCUGAAUGGUCAAGCAAAGAAUGACAGUAGCAACCAGUAUGGCUUCAUGCCAACAGCAAACCAUCAGCGUGCCUUCCAGAACAUCGUCCUGAUACUACAUGAGACCAUGGGCCACAUUUGUACUGUAAUUUUCAUUCCAGGACGCUUAAUCAACCCUAUGCUACAUUUGUCUCGGGGAAUGAGAGGCGGGCUCCCAGAGGAAAACCAGCUGACCUUCCUAGUCACACUAAUUCCACGUGUGCCUCGGUGAGCCUCCCCUCCCGGCUCCCACCGGCUCACAGUGAGCACGGGGAAGAUGGGUGCAGCAGACGGGAAAUCCAAGGACACUGCUCCCUUUAUACCUACAGCCUACAAGGCCCAAACACAUGGCCUAGGAAAUUCCUCUUUUUUC
rnacentral:lncRNA from 1 species